UGAUCCUGGCUCAGAACGUACGCUGGCGGCACGCCUAACACAUGCAAGUCGAACGAAGUAGCAAUACUUAGUGGCAGACGGGUGAGUAACAUGUAGGUAUCUGCCCUUUGGCCUGGAAUAACACGAGGAAACUUGUGCUAAUACCGGAUAAGUCUUUACGGAGAAAGCUUUAUGCACCAUUGGAUGAGCCUGCACUUGAUUAGUUUGUUGGUGGGGUAAUGGCCUACCAAGACUGUGAUCAAUAGCUGAUUUGAGAGGAUGAUCAGCCACAUUGGGACUGAGACACGGCCCAAACUCCUACGGGAGGCAGCAGUGGGGAACCUUGCACAAUGGAGGAAACUCUGAUGCAGCGAUGCCGCGUGAGUGAAGAAGGCCCUUGGGUUGUAAAGCUCUUUCGUCGGGGAAGAAAAUGACUGUACCCGAAUAAGAAGGUCCGGCUAACUUCGUGCCAGCAGCCGCGGUAAUACGAAGGGACCUAGCGUAGUUCGGAAUUACUGGGCUUAAAGAGUUCGUAGGUGGUUGAAAAAGUUAGUGGUGAAAUCCCAGAGCUUAACUCUGGAACUGCCAUUAAAACUUUUCAGCUAGAGUAUGAUAGAGGAAAGCAGAAUUUCUAGUGUAGAGGUGAAAUUCGUAGAUAUUAGAAAGAAUACCAAUUGCGAAGGCAGCUUUCUGGAUCAUUACUGACACUGAGGAACGAAAGCAUGGGUAGCGAAGAGGAUUAGAUACCCUCGUAGU
rnacentral:rRNA from 1 species